UACGUAGGGCGCAAGCGUUGUCCGGAAUUACUGGGCGUAAAGAGCUCGUAGGUGGUUUGUCGCGUUGUUCGUGAAAACUCACAGCUCAACUGUGGGCGUGCGGGCGAUACGGGCAGACUGGAGUACUGCAGGGGAGACUGGAAUUCCUGGUGUAGCGGUGGAAUGCGCAGAUAUCAGGAGGAACACCGGUGGCGAAGGCAGCUCGCUGGGACGGUACUGACGCUGAGACGCGAAAGCGUGGGGAGCGAACAGG
rnacentral:rRNA from 1 species